rnacentral:rRNA from 1 species
GGGCGGCCCUCCGAGGGCGCCCAGGGACGCGGUCCCCAGUUAACCCCGUUAACCCAGGGGAGGCCAACUGAAGCCGCCCCGGCGCCGGAAUUCAUCAACGGGCAACAGCUCAGGGAAGCACGACGAGGGAUUCCAAGUGCUGGCUCGUUAGAGUCAGCUGUUUCUCUGUCUAAAAAACAGAGAGAGUAAGGGCUGGGUAAGACGGGUGCCAGCCGCCGCGGUAAUACCUGCAGCUCAAGUGGUGGCCGCUAUUAUUGGGCCUAAAACGUCCGUAGCCUGUUUACUAAUGCCUAGGUAAAUUGUUGUGGCUUAACCAUACGAAUUCUGGGUAGACUGGUAAACUUGAGAUCGGGAGAAGCUAGAGGUACUCCUGGGGUAGAGGGUGAAAUUCUGUAAUCCUAGGGGGACCACCAGUGGCGAAGGCGUCUAGCUAGAACGAGUUUGACGGUGAGGGACGAAGCCCUGGGGCGCAAACGGGAUUAGAUACCCCGGUAGUCCAGGGUGUAAACGCUGCUUGCUUGAUGUUAGUCGGGCUCCGAGCCCGAUUAGUGUCGGAGAGAAGUUGCUAAGCAAGCUGCCUGGGAAGUACGGUCGCAAGACUGAAACUUAAAGGAAUUGGCGGGGGAGCACCGCAACGGGAGUAGCGUGCGGUUUAAUUGGAUUCAACGCCGGAAAGCUCAUCGGAGGAGACGGUUACAUGAAGGCCAGGCUGAUGACCUUGCCUGAUUUUCCGAGAGGUGGUGCAUGGCCGUCGUCAGUUCGUACCGUAAGGCGUUCUGUUAAGUCAGACAACGAACAAGACCCUCAUCUUUAGUUGCAACUGGUAAGUCCGCUUAUCAGGCACACUAAAGAGACCGCUGGCGCUAAGUCAGAGGAAGGCGAGGGCAACGGUAGGUCAGUAUGCCUGAAUCCUUCGGGCUACACGCGCGCUACAAAGGUCAGGACAUAAGAUUCGACACCGAAAGGUGAAGGUAACCUUGAAACCUGAUCGUAGUUCGGAUCGAGGGUUAAACUCACCCUCGUGAAGGUGAUUCCGUAUAAUCGCGUGUACAUACGCGUGAUACCCUCCC